rnacentral:rRNA from 1 species
UACGAAGGGUGCAAGCGUUAAUCGGAAUUACUGGGCGUAAAGGGUGCGUAGGCGGUUCGUUAAGUCUGUCGUGAAAUCCCCGGGCUCAACCUGGGAAUGGCGAUGGAUACUGGCGAGCUAGAGUGUGUCAGAGGAUGGUGGAAUUCCCGGUGUAGCGGUGAAAUGCGUAGAGAUCGGGAGGAAUACCGGUGGCGAAGGCGGCAUCCUGGACCGAGAUUGACACUGAUGAGCGAAAGCUAGGGGAGCAAACGGG